rnacentral:piRNA from 1 species
UGUGUUUGCUAGGCCCCGGCAUAGUCUC